GUACGGAAGGCGCAGCAGUGGGGAAUUUUGCGCAAUGGGCGAAAGCCUGACGCAGCAACGCCGCGUGGGUGAUGAAGGUCUUCGGAUCGUAAAACCCUGUCGUCAGGGACGAAGGUGGGGGUGUUAACAGCAUCCUUGCUUGACGGUACCUGGAGAGGAAGCCCCGGCUAACUCUGUGCCAGCAGCCGCGGUAAUACAGAGGGGGCAAGCGUUAUUCGGAAUUAUUGGGCGUAAAGGGCGCGUAGGCGGUUUUUUAAGUCAGAUGUGUAAUCCCCGAGCUCAACUUGGGAACUGCAUCUGAGACUGGAAGGCUAGAGUACUGGAGAGGGUGGUAGAAUUCCACGUGUAGCGGUGAAAUGCGUAGAGAUGUGGAGGAAUACCAGUGGCGAAGGCGGCCACCUGGACAGUAACUGACGCUGAGGCGCGAAAGUGUGGGUAGCAAACAGGAUUAGAUACCCGUGUAGUCCG
rnacentral:rRNA from 1 species